GAUGAACGCUGGCGGCGUGCCUAAUACAUGCAAGUCGAGCGAACGGACGAGAAGCUUGCUUCUCUGAUGUUAGCGGCGGACGGGUGAGUAACACGUGGAUAACCUACCUAUAAGACUGGGAUAACUUCGGGAAACCGGAGCUCAUACCGGAUAAUAUUUUGAACCGCAUGGUUCAAAAGUGAAAGACGGGCUUUCGCUCACUUAUAUAUGGAUCCGCGCUGCAUUAGCUAGUUGGUAAGGUAACGGCAUACCAAGCCAACGAUGCAUAGCCGACCGGGGAGGGUGAUCGGCCACACUGGCACUGAGACACGGUCCAGACCCCGACGGGAGGCAGCAGUAGGGAAGCUUCCGAAAUGGGCGAAAGCCUGACGGAGCAACGCCGCGGGAGUGAUGAAGGUCUUCGGAUCGUAAAACUCUGUUAGUAUGGAAGAACAUAUGUGUAAGUAACUGUGCACAUCUUGACGGUACCUAAUCAGAAAGCCACGGCUAACUACGUG
rnacentral:rRNA from 1 species